GACGAACGCUGGCGGCGUGCUUAACACAUGCAAGUCGAACGGUAAGGCCCUUCGGGGUACACGAGUGGCGAACGGGUGAGUAACACGUGGGUGAUCUGCCCUGCACUUCGGGAUAAGCCUGGGAAACUGGGUCUAAUACCGGAUAGGACCACUGCCUGCAUGGGUGGUGGUGGAAAGCUUUUGCGGUGUGGGAUGGGCCCGCAGCCUAUCAGCUUGUUGGUGGGGUGAUGGCCUAACAAGGCGACGACGGGUAGCCGGCCUGAGAGGGUGACCGGCCACACUGGGACUGAGAUACGGCCCAGACUCCUACGGGAGGCAGCAGUGGGGAAUAUUGCACAAUGGGCGCAAGCCUGAUGCAGCGACGCCGCGUGAGGGAUGACGGCCUUCGGGUUGUAAACCUCUUUCAGCACCGACGAAGCGCAAGUGACGGUAGGUGCAGAAGAAGGACCGGCCAACUACGUGCCAGCAGCCGCCGUAA
rnacentral:rRNA from 1 species